GUGAAUCAUCGAAUUUUUGAACGCAAAUUGCACUCUCUGGUAUUCCGGAGAGUAUUCCUGUUUGAGGGUAAUUAAAAAGAAUCUAUAACCAGUUUUUUUGGUCAAUGGAAAUGAGUUUUCCUCGUUUAUAGCGGUAGCUUGUAAUAAAUGGUAAAGUUUCAUUUUAGUUGAGAGGAGUAAUAUUAUUAUUUAUCGAAAUCUUCAUUAUGUAACUAUCUAGUUUUGAUGCAUGCAAAUUUGGUUUGUAUUCGAUUAAUACAAAUAUUUUGAACAUUACCUCACA
rnacentral:misc_RNA from 1 species